GGCGCCGUAGCCAAGUGGUAAGGCAUGGAUCUGCAAAAUCCAUAUACGUGGGUUCAAUUCCCACCGGCGCCU
rfam:Parcubacteria (Azambacteria) bacterium GW2011_GWE2_46_45 TX55_C0027, whole genome shotgun sequence.